AUUGAACGCUGGCGGCAGGCCUAACACAUGCAAGUCGAACGGUAACAGAAAGCAGCUUGCUGCUUUGCUGACGAGUGGCGGACGGGUGAGUAAUGUCUGGGAAACUGCCCGAUGGAGGGGGAUAACUACUGGAAACGGUAGCUAAUACCGCAUAACGUCGCAAGACCAAAGAGGGGGACCUUCGGGCCUCUUGCCAUCGGAUGUGCCCAGAUGGGAUUAGCUAGUAGGUGAGGUAAUGGCUCACCUAGGCGACGAUCCCUAGCUGGUCUGAGAGGAUGACCAGCCACACUGGAACUGAGACACGGUCCAGACUCCUACGGGAGGCAGCAGUGGGGAAUAUUGCACAAUGGGCGCAAGCCUGAUGCAGCCAUGCCGCGUGUAUGAAGAAGGCCUUCGGGUUGUAAAGUACUUUCAGCGAGGAGGAAGGGGUUGAGUUUAAUACGCUCAAUCAUUGACGUUACUCGCAGAAGAAGCACCGGCUAACUCCGUGCCAGCAGCCGCGGUAAUACGGAGGGUGCAAGCGUUGAUCGGAAUUACUGGGCGUAAAGCGCACGCAGGCGGUUUGUUAAGUCAGAUGUGAAAUCCCCGGGCUCAACCUGGGAACUGCAUUUGAAACUGGCAAGCUUGAGUCUCGUAGAGGGGGGUAGAAUUCCAGGUGUAGCGGUGAAAUGCGUAGAGAUCUGGAGGAAUACCGGUGGCGAAGGCGGCCCCCUGGACGAAGACUGACGCUCAGGUGCGAAAGCGUGGGGAGCAAACAGGAUUAGAUACCCUGGUAGUCCACGCUGUAAACGAUGUCUAUUUGGAGGUUGUGCCCUUGAGGCGUGGCUUCCGGAGCUAACGCGUUAAAUAGACCGCCUGGGGAGUACGGCCGCAAGGUUAAAACUCAAAUGAAUUGACGGGGGCCCGCACAAGCGGUGGAGCAUGUGGUUUAAUUCGAUGCAACGCGAAGAACCUUACCUACUCUUGACAUCCACGGAAUUUAGCAGAGAUGCUUUAGUGCCUUCGGGAACCGUGAGACAGGUGCUGCAUGGCUGUCGUCAGCUCGUGUUGUGAAAUGUUGGGUUAAGUCCCGCAACGAGCGCAACCCUUAUCCUUUGUUGCCAGCGAUUCGGUCGGGAACUCAAAGGAGACUGCCAGUGAUAAACUGGAGGAAGGUGGGGAUGACGUCAAGUCAUCAUGGCCCUUACGAGUAGGGCUACACACGUGCUACAAUGGCAUAUACAAAGAGAAGCGACCUCGCGAGAGCAAGCGGACCUCAUAAAGUAUGUCGUAGUCCGGAUUGGAGUCUGCAACUCGACUCCAUGAAGUCGGAAUCGCUAGUAAUCGUAGAUCAGAAUGCUACGGUGAAUACGUUCCCGGGCCUUGCACUCACCGC
rnacentral:rRNA from 1 species